UCGGGAAUUUUGGGCAAUGGGCGAAAGCCUGACCCAGCAACGCCGCGUGAGGGAUGAAGUAUUUCGGUAUGUAAACCUCGAAAGAAUAGGAAGAAUAAAUGACGGUACUAUUUAUAAGCUCCGGCUAACUACGUGCCAGCAGCCGCGGUAAUACGUAGGGAGCAAGCGUUGUUCGGAUUUACUGGGCGUAAAGGGCGCGUAGGCGGCAUAUUAAGUCAGCUGUGAAAUCUCCGAGCUUAACUCGGAACUGUCAGCUGAUACUGAUGUGCUAGAGUGCAGAAGGGGCAAUCGGAAUUCUUGGUGUAGCGGUGAAAUGCGUAGAUAUCAAGAGGAACACCUGAGGUGAAGACGGGUUGCUGGGCUGACACUGACGCUGAGGCGCGAAAGCCAGGGGAGCAAA
rnacentral:rRNA from 1 species